GUUUUAUUCUGUUAGGUGAGGCUACUUUAUGAAUAUAUGCUGCUACCCACUUUUGUCUAAAGACAAAAAAUGGGUGAACAACUUUUGUCGAAUUAAGGCUUAAGUUAAUGUAGCUGACUUAUAUUUUAAGUCAAAGUUGUAAAGUGCUAAAGCUCAACGUGGUGAAUAAAUU
rnacentral:sRNA from 2 species